GAUGAACGCUGGCUACAGGCUUAACACAUGCAAGUCGAGGGGAAACGACGGGGAAGCUUGCUUCCCCGGGCGUCGACCGGCGCACGGGUGAGUAACGCGUAUCCAACCUGCCUCUGACUGAGGGAUAACCCGUCGAAAGUCGGCCUAAUACCUCAUGGUAUCGUCUGCGGGCAUCCAACGACGAUUAAAGAUUUCAUCGGUCAGGGAUGGGGAUGCGUCUGAUUAGCUUGUUGGCGGGGUAACGGCCCACCAAGGCUACGAUCAGUAGGGGUUCUGAGAGGAAGGUCCCCCACAUUGGAACUGAGACACGGUCCAAACUCCUACGGGAGGCAGCAGUGAGGAAUAUUGGUCAAUGGGCGAGAGCCUGAACCAGCCAAGUAGCGUGCAGGAAGACGGCCCUAUGGGUUGUAAACUGCUUUUAUGCGGGGAUAAAGUGAGGGACGUGUCCCUCAUUGCAGGUACCGCAUGAAUAAGGACCGGCUAAUUCCGUGCCAGCAGCCGCGGUAAUACGGAAGGUCCUGGCGUUAUCCGGAUUUAUUGGGUUUAAAGGGAGCGUAGGCCGUGGAUUAAGCGUGUUGUGAAAUGCAGGUGCUCAACGUCUGCACUGCAGCGCGAACUGGUCCACUUGAGUGUGCGCAACGCAGGCGGAAUUCGUCGUGUAGCGGUGAAAUGCUUAGAUAUGACGAAGAACUCCGAUUGCGAAGGCAGCUUGCGGGAGCACAACUGACGCUGAAGCUUGAAAGUGCGGGUAUCGAACAGG
rnacentral:rRNA from 1 species